rnacentral:tRNA from 2 species
GGAAGGUUGGCAGAGUGACCGAAUGCGCUAGACUCGAAAUCUGGUAUACCCAUUACGUGGUAUCGGGGGUUUGAAUCCCUCACCUUCCGC